rnacentral:tmRNA from 1 species
CCUAAAGACGAACUAUGCAUGUAGACGCCCUUGUUGACGCUUCUCCAGGACGGGGGUUCGACUCCCCCCGCCUCCACCA